rnacentral:tRNA from 1 species
GGCUCCGUGGCUUAAUGGUUACGGCUUCUGCCUCACAAGCAGAAGGGUCAUUGAUCAAAUCCCGGUCGGUACCU